AAUCCAGCGUUGAAAAGGACAUGAAUCAUUCGUACAUUUUCUUUACCAGAGAACAGGGUCACCGGCUGAAAGCCCUGAAGAAAAGUGAAUGAUUUACCACCUUGGAGCUAUUAUAGGGAAAUCUAAGUAUCUAUAAUCGGAUAAUCCGUUAUCUUUUUGAGCGUAAGGUGGCUAAUACUUUACGGAAUUAGGGUGGUACCACGACCACACUCGUCCCUAUU
rnacentral:ncRNA from 1 species